rnacentral:rRNA from 1 species
AAUCUGGGGCCCUCGGCCUCCGAGUUGUAAUUUGGAGAGGCAUCCUUCUGGGGGGAGCGCCGGCCCAUGUUCCUUGGAACAGGACGUCACAGAGGGUGAGAAUCCCGUGUCAGGCAGGCUGCCUCCUCCCGUGUGAAGGGCCUUCGACGAGUCGAGUUGUUUGGGAAUGCAGCUCCAAGUGGGUGGUAAAUUUCAUCUAAAGCUAAAUACCGGCGGGAGACCGAUAGCGCACAAGUAGAGUGAUCGAAAGAUGAAAAGCACUUUGAAAAUAGAGUCAAAAAGUACGUGAAAUUGUUGAAAGGGAAGCGCUUGAGACCAGACUCAGGCCCGGGCAAACACCGCGCCCCUUGGGGCCGUGCAAUUGCCCGGGGCUGGGCCAGCAUCAGUUGGUGUGGCGGGACAAAGGCGCAGGCAAUGUGGCUCCCCUCGAGGAGUGUUAUUAGGCCCGCGCUCAAUGCCGCCGACGUCGACUGAGGACCGCGCCUCGGCUAGGAUGCUGGCUCAAUGGCCUUCAGCGACCCGUCUUGAAACACGGACCAAGGAGUCUAACAUCUAUGCGAGUGUUUGGGCGUCAAACCCUUGCGCGUAAUGAAAGUGAGCGGAGGUGGGAACCCCUCGCGGGGCGCACCAUCGACCGAUCCUGAUGUCUUCGGAUGGAUUUGAGUAG